rnacentral:lncRNA from 1 species
CUGGGCUGAGUUACUUAAUCACUCUACCUUCGACCAGAUCCUCAAGAGACUUCCUGGACUCUCUCAGGAAGCAGAUUACUCUAUCUGAAUGAAAUCUUCCUUGGGAAAUAAAUUGCACAAAGAGAGAAGAAGAAAAAAAAAUGUUUCAAGCUCCCGUCCUGGUUCAAACAUCAUGCCUUGGGGAGCCCUUCCUUGAACACUGACCUUCUAUUCUUUUAGUCAUUCAAUUAGAAGAUAUUUUAAGAGGUCCUACUAUGUGUCAGGUACUCUUCUAGAAGCUAGAGUACAGUAUUAAACAAAGCAGAC